rnacentral:rRNA from 1 species
UACGUAGGGUGCAAACGUUGCUCGGAAUUAUUGGGCGUAAAGCGCACGUAGGCGGCUUGGCAAGUCGGAUGUGAAAUCCCUCGGCUCAACCAAGGAAGUGCAUCCGAAACUGCUGAGCUUGAGUUCUUAAGAGGAUCGCGGAAUUCCCGGUGUAGAGGUGAAAUUCGUAGAUAUCAGGAGGAACACCGGUGGCGAAGGCGGAUCUCUGGGCCUUACCUGACGCUCAGGCGCGAAAGCUAGGGGAGCAAACAGG